GCAGUCGCCGCGGUAAUACGUAGGUGGCAAGCGUUGUCCGGAAUUAUUGGGCGUAAAGGGCUCGCAGGCGGUUUCUUAAGUCUGAUGUGAAAGCCCCCGGCUCAACCGGGGAGGGUCAUUGGAAACUGGGAAACUUGAGUGCAGAAGAGGAGAGUGGAAUUCCACGUGUAGCGGUGAAAUGCGUAGAGAUGUGGAGGAACACCAGUGGCGAAGGCGACUCUCUGGUCUGUAACUGACGCUGAGGAGCGAAAGCGUGGGGAGCGAACAGGAUUAGAUACCCCAGUAGUCCCUGUCUCUUAUAU
rnacentral:rRNA from 1 species